rnacentral:lncRNA from 1 species
GGGACAAAGGGUCUGUUCAGCCAAAGUUUAAAUAAUCUUUUGGGUAUGAGGGCUGUCUUAGAGAUGUUGCCAAAAUAUUGAAAUAUCAGAAGUCCCAUGCAGCUUUCUGUUGUACACACACACACACACACACACACACACACAAUUAUGGCAGAAACAUUCUACAAACACACACACAGUCAGAGAGCCAUGGUUCUCUCCAGAGAAAGACUCAGGAGUUUGGGGCAGGAAAUAAGUUUUUCUAUUUAAAAUAUACUCCUGAAAGUGCUUGAAAACUUUUUUUUUUUUUUUUUUUUUUGGCCAUGCCUGUGGCACAUGGAAGUUCUCAGGCCAAGGAUCAAACUUGCACCAUAGCUGUAACCACAGGAACAGCAAUAGCAAUGCUGGAUCCUUCACCCACUGAGCCAUUAAUCUUGUUAAAAUCGACUUGUCUGAGACGUUGCUUCAACAAAACCAUUGCUUGGCUUAGUGUGAGUGACUCCACUCACUUUUUGGUUCCAUCAGUGUGGGGAGCACACCCCAGCAGGGUGUUUCAGACACGUCUUGGAGGCGGGAGAGGGAAUAAGCAAGAUCUCGACGGUUUUAAAGGUACAGCCCCAAGGAGAACAAAAACAUGAAGGCAGUGGAUGCCGUGAUGUAGCGCCCAGGCUCCCGUUCAGGAAUGAAGACUCAUUCCUCCAGCAGCUGGAAAGUGGCCCUGGAGGAGGAGCUCCCAGAGGACCCCCCACCUAGGACAGCCACCUCGCUGUCUGGAGCAGCCCUCAGCCUACAACUGAUCUGCUUUGGAGAGGGAAAGAGGCCCAGCCCCCUUGCCUCAGCUUGGAACCAUUCCAUGGAGGAGGCAUCUAGGCUCACCCUCUGCCCAACCCCACUUUCUUCUUUCUGCCACAAGUGGUGAUCCUGGGACCACUCCUCAUACACCUGCUCCAAGCUCAUCUCCAUCUUAGGGCCUGCUUCUUGGGUGACCCAACCCCUAACACUUGGUACCAGGAGUCUGAGAAAACAGGUGCUGGGAUGAGAUUCGGGAGCUCAGAAGGUGGGCACUGAGAGUGGAUACAUGAGGCUGGAAAACCCACCAACUAACUCUGUUCCUUGGGGCAGCCCAGAGGAGACACAAUUUAGCAAAGCAGCAAGGCAUGCACGGUGAGAAGGCCACCUGCCUCACACAGAAGCUCCACGAUGGCUCUCUGAUACAAGCCGAGAAAUGCCAUGCCCGAGCUGGGCACACGGAUAGCAAUGGAAAUAACAGCACGUCCCCCCAACACCCAAAUAGAGACUGGGUGACAGCAUUUCACCAUCAGUGGCCCAGGAGCACUGGCUCCCCUUUACGAAGGCUGGCCCGGCUUUUGCCGCUGUAGACCACAAAGUGCUAUAGCAGUCAAAGCCAAGGUGGCAUUCCCAGUAAGGUGCCCUUCCUGAGGUGCCCAGCCAGGCUUCUGGUGGUGAGUUGACUGCACUGGGCUGACUCCACUCAAGUAGAAGGUGAAGCAGUCUGCUUUAGCAGGAAUAAAUUCACAUCUCAGGUAUGGGUUUGCCUUUUU